AAGGAUUUAAGUUAAAAAAACUACUAACCUUCAAAGUUAAAAAUAUAAAUUUAUAAGCCUUA
rnacentral:tRNA from 1 species